CAGCCGUCGGGGCUGAAUCCCCGCGAGGGGAACGGGGGACCCAAUCUCUUGGGGUGAAUCCUGCCGCUGGCAGGUAGGGUAGGAUCUCUUUCAACCCGAACCCGUCAGCUAACCCCGUAGGCCACUGAAAGAGGCAUA
rnacentral:sRNA from 2 species